rnacentral:tRNA from 1 species
GGCUCCAUAGCUCAAGGGUUAGAGCACCGGUCUUGUAAACCAGGGGUCACGGGUUCAUAUCUCACUGGAGCCU